rnacentral:rRNA from 1 species
GGUCAAGCGAACAAGUGCAUGUGGUGGAUGCCUUGGCGAUCACAGGCGAUGAAGGACGCGGUAGCCUGCGAAAAGCUACGGGGAGCUGGCAAACGAGCUUUGAUCCGUAGAUGUCCGAAUGGGGAAACCCACUCCUUUUGGAGUAUCCAUGGCUGAAUACAUAGGCCAUGCGAAGCGAACGCGGUGAACUGAAACAUCUAAGUAACCGCAGGAAAAGAAAUC